rnacentral:misc_RNA from 1 species
GAUGAAGAACGUAGCGAAAUGCGAUAAGUAGUGUGAAUUGCAGAAGUACCGUGAAUCAUCGAAUCUUUGAACGCAAAUUGCACUCUCUGGUAUUCCGGGGAGUAUGCCUGUUUGAGGGUCGCUUAACAAACCAUCGAUUUCGUUGCUUUUUUUUUUUAAGUGAUGUUUAUCGGUUUUGAGCCGUCUUUUUUUUUAUAUUUAAGUGGCUUAAAAUUGAUUUUUUUGGUACGAUCGAAGCGUAUUUUUAUGAUCAAUUUUUGGUUAAAGAAACGCACACGUACCGUUAUUUAUAUGAUGUAAUACGUUUGACUAUUGGAUUUAGUUCAUUCGUAUACGAUAUCUUUCAAUAUUUGACCUCAAAUCAGGUAAGAACACCCGCUGAACUUAAGCAUAUCAAUAAGCGGAGGA